rnacentral:rRNA from 1 species
CUCGUAGGCGGCUCUAUAAGUCAGUAGUGAAAUCUCGAAGCUCAACUUCGAACGUGCUAUUGAAACUGUAGAGCUUGAGUACAGACGAGGCAGGCGGAAUGUGUUGUGUAGCGGUGAAAUGCUUAGAUAUAACACAGAACACCGAUAGCGAAGGCAGCUUGCCAGACUGUAACUGACGCUGAGGCACGAAAGCGUGGGGAGCGAACAGGAUUAGAUACCCUGGUAGUCC